AUACUGUCAAUUUGAUUUCUAUUUAUUUCCUUUUUAUUUAUUUAUUUUUCCUGAGGUUAAUUUCAGCGUUUAAUCCGAAAAGAGAUUCCAGGGCUGCUAUUGGAUUAGAGGUACAAUGGACCACAUUAACUAAGGGUAAUCCUGGGAAAUAUUGCAAGUCCUUUCAUAUGACUCUGACGAGAGCAGACCACUACAAGGACACAGUCAGGAGCUCUAAAAUAUAGUCAAAUGUCUAUAAACGUGCGGGUCACUACAAUGGAUGCUGAGCUGGAGUUUGCCAUUCAGCCCAGUACAUCUGGUAAACAUCUCUUUGACCAAGUUGUGAAAACUAUUGGACUCCGAGAGAUCUGGUACUUUGGACUGCAGUAUCAGGACAGCAAGGGCUU